CCGCGCGGAACGGAUCGAAGGAGACACAGAGACAGGCAAGAGGAGAGGAGGAGCCCGCCGCCUCCUCGACGCGUGCCGCCGGAUCUUCAAUGCCCAGCCACUGUCGGAGCUUCAGCGCCGGCCUCUUACUCCGGCACCCUAUCUAUCCCAGGUGAUUCCUCCCCUCUCCUCCACUCCUCCAUCCCCUCCCCUACAAACCCUAGGGUCACGGACGUCUGCCUUCUUCCUUCAUGGCGUGUUGUUCUUGUCCAGCCCCAUCUUAGUAUUAAGUGAUUUGAUAUUGAUUGACACGCCGUUGGCCGAAUUUUAUUAGAAGCCAGUACUAGAUUCUGCAGUUCGUCGGCCUGGAGCAGACAACUUCAGAUAUCACUGUAUUUUCCUGAGCAGAACCAAUGUACUUGAUGCUUUAAUCAUGAUAGAACCCACCAUGAUAGAACUUAUGUACCUAAGCAGAUUUAUUAGAAUCCACCAUACAAUUUAUUUCUACAGAUUUAUUAGAACCCACCAUGGUUGAACUGACGUACCUGAGCAGAUAGUGAGAGAUCUUGUCAUCUCUUCUCCUGGUAUGAAGAACUUAAUUGUGGAGUUGAUUGAAGGUACACAAUUUCACAUUUGUACCUGUGGAGGUGCGCUUAGUAACGAUAGUUCUUGGCUUCAUUUACCAGAACAUUGUCAGGUCCUUGCAUGAUCCUUAUUUGACCACAUUGCUGGUUAGUCCUUUUAACAGAACAUGGAAACCAAAAUAUGUGCUCUGUAUCCAUGCUUAUCAUGUGUGUGCUCUCGAAAUCAAGCUUCAUGCUACAACGACCAAUAAAACUUAAACCAACAGUCAUCUGAAGUUUUGAAGAUGCCUCACCAUGUAGUAUAGGUAGCUAACUGAAGAUAAAUUAAUGAUUUAUGUGGCAUUGGCGUUAUAGAGUCCAAAGGUUUUUCAUUUCAGUUAAAAAUUAAGAGGACGAUCAACCAAGUUCACAUGCUUCACUAACCUGAAUAAACAGAUAAUUUUGCAAGUACUCCUUAGUAUAAAUAGUAGAGGCAGGGUUUUCUCAAAAGUAUAUAAAAAUAAAAGGAAGCACUAACACGCUUCUUAGGUUUGACUUAAGAAAAACUAACACACUUUUUAUUUUAAGGCCGGGAGAGUAGUAUAGAAAGGAACCACUGGAACUCUAGAUGUGAGCAUGGAGGGAGAGUGGACAAGAAUGCAUCGCUUCCCAAGUGCCUGCAAGUUUUGUGAAUUAUUGUGAGUCCAAAUUACCCCAUCAGAUCCAUUACUACUACUAUUACUACUAUAGUGUGCUUUGCAGUUUUGAGCAAUUUACUGAAUAUACUAGCGCAUUUGCAGAAUACGGCUACAAGUCUGCAACACUGGCACAAUGACAAAGUCCAAAUGCCAAUUGUGUUGGUUCCAGCAUUGUCAAUCGAUCUGCACAUAGCACCGAACAGUGUGGAAGACACGCAUUACAUUUCAAAAUAGUAUGUCCCUGUACUGUGAUCUGAAGUAAAACCCUGAAAUAAUUGUUUUCAAGUUUGUAUCCAUGUAUUUUAUAUCCUUUUCGUCUGGAUUUCACUGUUGAUCCAUACUGACUACAAAUGUCUUCUUCUACCUAGCAUUGUUUGACUGUCAAAUUCCAUAAGAAUAUUAAGUUUAAAUUCCAUAUCUGUUUGACAUGAUUAAUUAAUCUGGUUGUUUCAUGUCUAAGCAUAUUUGCUUGCAGGAUUUCUGCACUUAUUUUUUCCACCUACGUACUAGUAUAUCUUGUUGUUCAUAGAUAGAUUAAUGUAUGGAGAGAUUAAUUGUCUGAACUAUUAUAGAUGUCCUUAUCAUGUUGCCUAGUGGAGCCACACGUGUUCAGGUCCUCGCUAUCCUCGCCAAUGUUUCGUAUAUGAAGGGGAUAAUCCUGGUAAUUUUUGGGUGUGGGAAUGCUCUUGCUAUGAAUGAUGACUUCUAGUCUUUGCAUUUGUGUGUAUUUGUAUGUUGUAAUUCGCUGAGCGAACUGUUGUGAGUACAGAGUAAUAGAACAUAGGUUGGCUUAUUUGGCUUUCUUGAACGUCAUCUGUCUAACCUGUUGGCCUAUUUAAAAAGCUCAUCUCCUUUUGUUUUAGCAGGUUCUUUGGCAACUAGAGAAGCAAGCUGGACAAACUUUUGGCCAUUCAAAAACUCGAUGAUCAUGACAUCGUAAGAGCAAUUAAUCUGUAUGACAACAUCAUUCUCAUCCUUGCUUGGUCUGUAAAAAUAUAAUUGAUUGUGAGCUAUUGCACAAGCACCCUGUAUAGCAUUAUGUUUGGUGUUGUGAAAGAUCAUAUUGCUAUGAAGAUAUUAUUGGUUUCAAGUCAUGCUACUAUGAGAGAUUAUGUUGUUGUGAUGUGACUGAUAUUGAUGUGAUUAGAUAUUGAUUCCAAGUCAACCAAAAUUAUGUUCUUGAUGUGAAGAACUGCUGUCACAUUUUUAUUAGGUGUCAUUCACAAUUUUAUAGCAAGUUUGUCUAGCUAUGAUGCUAUUUAACCUGUAAAGAUUGUAUUUUUAAUAGGUUUACACCAUUUUAACUCAAUAGGGAAAUCCCUGCCUACCAAACAGUGUUUUAUAUGGAGGGGUUGUGGCUGGAGAGGGAUUUGAGGUUUGAAGGGGAUCUGAGGGGAUUGGGUGGAAGAGGAGGAUUCACCAAAUCCCCUGAAAUCCCCUUCUCCCCAAACCUCUCAAAUCCACUCCUAUCAAACAAAGCCUAAGUGAGACUGUUCUUGGCCGAUCCGCUUUCUCCUCUUCUCUUAUUUUUUUAUUCUCAGUUAAAAUUUGCUGAUGUUGGAUAGCUCCCAUCAGGUUGCUCUUUUGAUUCACUGCAUUCAAGAUGCUCGUCCUAACCUGAAGCAACACCUGCACCUGAUGCUUUGACAGGGUGACCAUCAACGGUGAUUGAGGGUUAGCAGGGCCGAAGGAUUUACUGCACCAGGGAGUAGGCGAGAUCAUCGAUUUGGACGCUUCCGUCGAAGUUGUCGUCCGUGCAGUUGAUUUGGUCGUGGACGUGGAUUUUGUUAGAUGUGUAUAGUUCAUUGUGUACAUUCCCAUUGUAUAAGGGGCUUGUCUGCACUUUAUCACACCUGUAUAUGUACUUGCCUUUGGCCCUCAGUAAAGAGUUAGUUGCUCAUUUAUCCAACAUGGUAUCAGUUGCCAGGUUCCUCUUCCUCCCCCGCACGCUGCAGCUCCGUGCCUAGUUUUCCCGUCGCCGGCCACCUCCUCCCCCGUCGCCGGCCACCUUCUUCCCGCCCGGCUGCGACCUGGCAGCGCCCCGGUCGUGCUCUACCCGCCCUGGCCGCGCCCCGGCCAAUCUCUCCCUGCCCAGCUGCGUCUCGCCCACGCCCCGGGCUUCGCAUCUGGCUGGCUGCGUCCCGCCUGCGCCCCGGGCUCCGCAUCCGGCUGGCUGCUGUUGGCCGCGCCUCGCGCCCAGCCUCUGCAUCUGGCUGGCUGCUGCUGGUCGCGCCCCGUGCCCAGGCAACGCAUCUGGCUGGCUGCUGCUGGCUCCUCUGCUGCCGCAGGAGCAGCCCAGGGCCGGCCCUCCUCGUGGCUUCCCGCUUCCUCCCGAUUCCCCACUCGGGGCUGCAUCGGGCUAGCGUGAGGCUCUCAGCCCCGAUCCAGAUCGGGGAGUGUUAAAAAAAACAGAGGAGAAAACAGAGUUCUCUCAUGUCUUCUUCGGGCUAUGUUGCUAUACCUCGGUGCUCAGUGAUCUUCGAUGGCACCAACUAUGCUGAGUUUGUGGGAUUCAUGCGCAUCCAUAUGCGUGGUCUUCUUCUCUGGGGUGUUCUUUCUGGUGAGGUUCCCUGCCCGCCAUGCCCUGUCGCGCCUGUGGCCCCAAUCCCACCGGUGCCGCCGGUACUUGCUCCUGAGGCUUCCCAGGCUGACCGGGAUGCCGCCAAGGCCAUUGAUGAUGUUGCAGUUGAUGCCUACGAUCAGCAGGUAUCUUCUUACUCCGAUGCUCUUUCGGCGUACCGGGAUGAUCUAUCUGCUUACACUCAGUGGUGCAAUGAUGAUGCUCGUGCUGCUGCUGUUCUUACUGCCAGUGUCCUCCCUCAGUUUGCUUCGGAGUUCAUGGGACUUGGCACAGUUGCAGCAAUGUGGUCUUACCUUUGUCAGCGCUAUCAGCCCUCUGGUGAUGCUCUCUAUCUCUCUGUGGUGCGUCAGGAGCACGCCCUCCAGCAAGGUGAUUCCUCUGUUGAUGAGUUCUACUCACAGUGCUCUGCCAUCUGGCGUCAGCUUGACUCUCUUCGAACAGUUGUUUGUGGCACCUGUCGUUGCUGUCAGACUACUCGGUCUGAUCUGGAGUUUCAGCGGGUCCAUGAGUUCUUAUCUCGUCUCCGCUCUGAGUUUGAGCCCAGACGUGCUCACUUGCUUGCUCGUGGUCGUGUUCCAAUCUCGGGGAUGCUUGCUGAGCUUCGUGCUGAGGUGACCCGCCUUCGUUCUGCUGGUUUGCUGGUGGUCCCGUCUGUGUUGGCUGCUCAGGCUCCUGUGUCGUCUGCUCGGCUCACCGCUCCACCACUCCUCCCCACACCUUCAGGGGGGUGAGUCGCCCUGCUUAUACUGAGAGGGGCCGAUCACGCCGAGACACCUUCUGUGGCUACUGCUCUCGGCCCGGUCACCCAGAGUCUGAUUGUUGUGAGAAGAAGCGAGACCAGCGGCGCUCCUCUUCCAGUGGGACUCCUGGAUCUUCCUCGACUCCGUCACUCACUGACCAGGACAUUGUGAGGCUCAAACGCCUCCUGGCUUCCUCAGGCUCUUCGUCAACUGGUUCAGUUGCUGCUGUGACUGCAGCCACUUCUCCACCACCGCAGGCAUCUACACAGUCAGGUACAUUUUCGUGGGUUUUGGAUUCUGGAGCCUCCUUCCACAUGUCUUCUGAUUCUUCUGGGUUGUCUUCUCUCCGACCUCUUGAUUCGCCUGUUAAUGUUCUUACCGCCGAUGGCACACCUCUUCCUGUUGCUAGUCGUGGCAUUCUUUCCACUCCCUCCUUUUCUGUUCCUAGUGUCUCGCAUGUUUCUCGUCUUACCAUGAAUCUGUUUUCCGCUGCUCAACUUACUGAUUCUAGUUGUCGUGUCAUUCUUGAUACCGACUCUUGCUCCAUUCAGGAUCGACGCACCAAGGUUUUGGUUGGUGCUGGCCCCCGGCGCCGUGAGUCAGAGGGCCUUUGGGAGGUUGACUGGCUUCGUGUUCCUUCCGCUGCCACCACUCUUGCCAGCUCCCAUGCUCUUGCUGCCUCUUCGCCUGCGUCCUUCCAGCAGUGGCAUCAUCGCCUUGGUCACAUCUGUGGCUCUCGCUUGUCUUCGCUAGUUCCUCAGGGCCUCUUAGGGUCUGUAUCUGGAGAUGUCUCCUUACCUUGUAAUGGUUGCAAACUUGGCAAACAGACUCAGUUACCUUAUCCUACUAGUGAGUCUGUAUCUCAGCGUCCUUUUGACUUAGUUCAUUCUGAUGUCUGGGGUCCUGCUCCCUUUGAUUCGAAAGGUGGUCAUCGCUACUAUGUUUUGUUUAUUGAUGAUUUCUCUCGCUACACUUGGCUCUACUUCAUGAAAUCUCGUAGCGAGGUUCUCUCUAUAUACAAACGAUUUGCUGCCAUGGUUCGUACCCAGUUUUCCACGCCCAUUCGUACUUUUCGUGCUGACUCUGCUGGAGAGUAUAUCUCUCAGCUGUUGCGUGGUUUUCUUGCGGAACAGGGAACCCUUGCCCAGUUCUCAUGUCCUGGUGCUCAUGCCCAGAAUGGCGUUGCCGAACGUAAGCAUCGUCAUUUGCUUGAGACGGCUCGUGCGCUGAUGAUUGCUGCUUCUCUUCCUCCCCAUUUUUGGGCUGAGGCUGUUUCUGCAUCCACCUAUCUCAUCAACAUUCAACCAUCGCAUGCUUUGCAGGGUGGUAUUCCUCUGGAGUAUCUCACUAGUCGCUCUCCUGACUACUCUGCUCUUUGGAUGUUUGGAUGCGUGUGCUAUGUUCUCCUUGCCCCCCGAGAACGCACCAAACUGACUGCUCAAUCGGUUGAGUGUGUUUUCCUUGGUUACAGUGAUGAGCACAAGGGCUAUCGAUGUUGGGAUCCCGUGGGUCGUCGCUUGCGUAUCUCGCGUGAUGUGACUUUUGACGAGUCUCGUUCCUACUACCCACGUCCUUCUUUCUCGAGUUUCUUUGUGGAUGAUCUCUCUUUCCUUCUCCUUCCUGAUACACCCUGCUAUGUGCCUCCUGUGUCAUCUCUCCCUCCAGCACCUCUCAUUCCUUCUCCUUCACCACCUACCCCAUCUUCUCCAUCCUUGUCCUCCACCUCUCCACCAUCAUCUCCCGUCCGUCGCUCUCUCUCACCAUUCCCUCUCCACUAUACUCGUCGGUCUCGUCCUGAAGAAGUCUCCCCUGACGCGCCUUCCACCUCUGGUGCACCUCUCCUCACGCCUCCCCCGGUUCACAACCUCCGGGCUCGGCCUCGCCCCCCGCCUGAUCGCUACUCCCUUGAUCGGUACGGUAUCUCUGUUUUGACUGAGCCCACUUCCUAUCGCACUGCCAUGACUCAGCCUGAAUGGCAGCUUGCGAUGGCCGAGGAGCUUGCUGCCCUUGAGCGCUCUGGCACAUGGGAUCUGGUUCCCCUCCCUUCUGGUGUCCGUCCCAUCACCUGCAAGUGGGUCUACAAGCUUAAGACUCGCUCCGAUGGUUCUCUUGAGCGCUACAAAGCUCGUCUUGUGGCCCGUGGUUUUCAGCAGGAGCAGGGGCGCGAUUACGAUGAGACAUUCGCUCCUGUGGCCCACAUGACCACUGUCCGCACUCUUCUUGCUGUGGCUUCUGUUCGUCAGUGGUCUAUCUCUCAACUUGAUGUUCAGAACGCUUUUCUCAAUGGCGAGUUGCGUGAGGAGGUUUAUAUGCAGCCACCCCCGGGGUACUAUGCUCCUGAUGGUAUGGUCUGUAGACUUCGCCGCUCCCUAUAUGGUCUCAAACAGGCCCCUCGAGCCUGGUUUGAGCGCUUCGCAUCUGUGGUGACCGCCGCUGGUUUCUUGCCCAGUGACCAUGAUCCUGCGCUGUUUGUUCACACGUCUCCUCGUGGUCGGACUCUUCUCCUUCUCUAUGUUGAUGACAUGAUCAUCACAGGUGACGACUCGGAGUACAUUGCCUUUGUUAAGGCUCGCCUUCGAGACCAGUUCCUCAUGACUGACCUUGGUCCUCUUUGAAGGAAAUAUGCCCUAGAGGCAAUAAUAAAGUUAUUAUUUAUUUCCUUAUAUCAUGAUAAAUGUUUAUUAUUCAUGCUAGAAUUGUAUUAACUGGAAACAUAAUACAUGUGUGAAUAUAUAGACAAACAGGGUGUCACUAGUAUGCCUCUACUUGACUAGCUUGUUAAUCAAAGAUGGUUAUGUUUCCUAACCAUGGACAAAGAGUUGUUAUUUGAUUAACGGGAUCACAUCAUUAGUUGAAUGAUCUGAUUGACAUGACCCAUUCCGUUAGCUUAGCACCCGAUCGUUUAGUAUGUUGCUAUUGCUUCCUUCAUGACUUAUACAUGUUCCUAUGACUAUGAGAUUAUGCAACUCCCGUUUACCGGAGGAACACUUUGUGUGCUACCAAACGUCACAACAUAACUGGGUGAUUAUAAAGGUGCUCUACAGGUGUCUCCAAAGGUACUUGUUGAGUUGGCGUAUUUCGAGAUUAGGAUUUGUCACUCCGAAUGUCGGAGAGGUAUCUCUGGGCCCUCUCGGUAAUGCACAUCACUUAAGCCUUGCAAGCAUUGCAACUAAUGAGUCAGUUGUGAGAUGAUGUAUUACGGAACGAGUAAAGAGACUUGCCGGUAACGAGAUUGAACUAGGUAUUGGAUACCGUCGAUCGAAUCUCGGGCAAGUAACAUACCGAUGACAAAGGGAACAACGUAUGUUGUUAUGCGGUCUGACCGAUAAAGAUCUUCGUAGAAUAUGUAGGAACCAAUAUGGGCAUCCAGGUCCCGCUAUUGGUUAUUGACCGGAGACGUGUCUCGGUUAUGUCUACAUUGUUCUCGAACCGUAGGGUCCGCACGCUUAAGGUUUCGAUGUCAGUUUUAUUAUGAGUUUAUGAGUUUUGAUGUACCGAAGGAGUUCUGAGUCCCGGAUGAGAUCGGGGACAUGACGAGGAGUCUCGAAAUGGUCGAGACGUAAAGAUCGAUAUAUUGGACGACUAUAUUCGGAGUUCGGAAAGGUUCCGAGUGAUUCGGGUAUUUUUCGGAGUACCGGAGAGUUACGGGAAUUCGCCGGGGAGAAGUAUUGGGCCUUAUUGGGCCCCGCGGGAAAGAGAGAGGGGCUGCCUAGGGCAGGCCGCGCGCCCCCCCAUGGCCUAGUCCGAAUUGGACUAGGGGGAGGGGCCGCACCCCCUCCUUCCUUCCCUUCUCUCUUCCCCUUCCUUGUCUCCUACUCCUAAUACAUGGAAGGACUCCUAGUUAGACUAGGAAAGGGCGAAUCCUACUCCCGGUGGGAGUAGGACUCCCCUAGGGCGCGCCAUAGAAGAGGGCCGGCCCUCCCCUCCUCCACUCCUUUAUAUACGGGGGUAGGGGGCACCCCAUGGACACACAAGUUGAUCAUUGAGAUCGUUCCUUAGCCGUGUUCGGUGCCCCCCUCCACAAGAUUACACCUCGGUCAUAUCAUAGCGGUGCUUAGGCGAAGCCCUGCGACAGUAGAACAUCAAGAUCAUCACCACGCCGUCGUGCUGACGGAACUCCUCCCCGCGCCUCUACUGGAUCGGAGAUCGGGGAGCGUCAUCGAGCUGUACGUGUGUCAAGAACUCGGAGGUGCCGGAGUAACGGUGCUUGGAUCGGUUGGACCGGGAGGACGUACGACUACUUCCUCUAUGUUGUGUUAAUGCUUCCGCUUCGGUCUACGAGGGUACGUAGACAACACUCUCUCCUCUCGUUGCUAUGCAUCACCAUGAUCUUGCGUGUGCGUAGGAAUUUUUUUUGAAAUUACUACGUUCCCCAACACUCUUCGCUAUUUUCUUGGGAUUGAGAUCUCCUCGACCCCUGAUGGCUUCUACAUCUCCCAAGAAAAAUAUAUUCAGGAUCUUCUUACUCGCGCUGCUCUUGGUGAUGAGCGCACUGUUGUGACUCCUAUGGAGCUCAAUGUUCAGCUUCGUGGCUCUGAUGGUGACCCUCUUCCUAAUCCCACUCGCUAUCGUCACCUCGUUGGCAGCCUUGUCUAUCUGGCUGUUACGCGCCCUGACAUCUCCUAUCCUGUCCACAUCCUGAGUCAGUUUGUUUCAGCCCCCACCUCUGUCCACUAUAGUCACCUCCUCCGUGUUCUACGAUAUCUUCGUGGCACGAUCUCUCAGCGACUUUUCUUUCCCCGCUCCAGCUCUCUUGAGCUCCAGGCCUACUCUGAUGCUACCUGGACUAGUGAUCCCUCUGAUCGACGCUCGCUGUCUGCUUACUGUGUUUUUCUUGGUGGCUCUCUUAUUGCCUGGAAGACAAAGAAGCAGACUGCAGUUUCUCGCUCGAGUACAGAGGCUGAGUUGCGAGCCAUGGCUAUGUUGACCGCUGAGGUGAUUUGGUUACGGUGGUUACUUGAGGAUUUUGGUGUGUCUGCUACUACCUCAACUCCUCUCCUGUCCGACAGUACCGGUGCUAUCAGUAUUGCGCGUGACCCGGUGAAGCAUGAGCUCACCAAGCACAUCGGUGUGGAUGCCCACUUUGUGCGUGCUGCUGUGCAGGAUCAGACUCUCGCUCUUCACUAUGUGCCCUCUGAGUUACAGUUGGCUGACUUCUUCACGAAGGCACAGACUCGAGCGCAGCAUGGGUUUUUUCUCUCCAAACUCAGUGUUGUUGAUCCACCAUGAGUUUGAGGGGGGGUGUUAGAUGUGUAUAGUUCAUUGUGUACAUCCCCAUUGUAUAAGGGGCUUGUCUGCACUUUACCACACCUGUAUAUGUACUUGCCUUUGGCCCUCAGUAAAGAGUUAGUUGCUCACUUAUCCAACAGAUUUCAUCUCCCGUAGGCCUGCAGUGGCAACAUUGUUCCAAGUUGAACUGCAGGUCCAUAUGUUCCCUUUUGCUAACUGUAAUAUUUCCCCUUUAUCUUAGCCUUUUCCUAUACUUGUGCCACUCAACCAAUAUAAUGUACUUAAGGAAAUGCUUGUUAGCUGUAAAUAUUUCUUAUUUUUUCCUUAGUUUUUUUUAAUAUCAAGUGUUUUUUAAUUGAUCUAUACGUGUUGAAUGAGGUACAGAGUAGUCGCUACUCCCUCCGUUUCUAAAUAGAAGCCCAUCUAGAGAUUUCAAUACGAACUACAUACGGAUGUAUAUAGACAUAUUUUAGGGUGUACAUUCAAUCAUUUUGCUCCGUAAGUAGUCCAUAGUGGAAUCCCUAAAAGGUCUUAUACUUAGGAACGGAGGGAGUAAUAAGUUAGUGUACAUUUUAAAAAUGUAACUAUUUCCAAUUAUUAAUGCAUUUUUGCAAUAUUUCGCCAAAAAAAUAGAUAAUAGCUUAAUAUCAAAACAUGUUUGAUAGCAUUGUACGUACGCAAUAUAAUGUCUUGAUGCUUUCACUAUUUUUUAUUAAAUAAUAAGCUUAUAGAAUCAAAUAUCACAUAAUAUAGAUUUCUGAUGUUUGGUUAUGAAGUCUUUACACCUGUUGAUGCAAGUUUGCAUUACUUUGGUAGGGUAAGUACACCACAUUUGACCUGCCAUAUCAUGUUAGCAUACUUAAGUCAGACUUUCUUUGUAAGAGAUUUUGCAGUGUAGUAAGUUCCUAUAUAUGUAAUUCAUACGUAAUAGUCCACUGGCCUCAUCUUGUGAAAGAACAUCAUGCUGAAAUUCUGUUUUUUGUUCAUACUUUUAGAAUAUUUCUGUAUAGACUAUAUUCUUGACCACAUCAUCCUGAUUGCUAUCUUCAUCAUCUACCAUUACCUGCCGUCCCUCCCUUUGUGUUACUCUUGAGAAGGCUACGUAUAAUUGUCCAUGUGUGAAAACUUGUUUAGGUAGAUAUAGUCCUACCUUGUUCAGAGAUUGGCCCUGGCUUUUGUUGAUAGUCAUAGCAAAGCAAACUGAUGUAGGAUAUUGUCUCCUUUUUAGAACAAAUGGCCAUGCUGAUUCAGUUGGUGACAUGACUAUUCUUUGAAUAUAUACCUUUUCUCCCGAUGUGUUCCGGUUACUAUCCGUGCUUCGAUGAAUUUUCUUCCAAGUUGAAUAAUUAUCAUCCUUGUACCAUUGCAUAAUCCAGCACUUUGGUUGAUAUUACGUAGUAGCAUUACAUGUAUGCCAACUUUUAAGGCCCUCGACGAUGUGAGGAUCUAUUGAAUCCCUUUUAUCUUCUGUUGUCGACGUAUUAAUCCUGUUUCAUACCUUAUUUCCAGUGUCAUAGAUGUACAAUUGUGCCCACUGUGGUUUAUCUUUACCUUCAGGCAGUACAGUACCUAUUUUGUGGUAGUUUUUCUCAUUCAUUCUAAGAACAUAUGGUCCAAUGCCAUUGUUUAUUUGUUUGUCUGCUUUUCCUCCCAUUGUUGUGAAAGUAAACAUGGAGUUGUACAAUCUGAUAUUUUGCAAGCAGUUUUUUGACCUCUUUCCAUUGUCUUUCCUUAGCAAUUUCGCAAGGUAAGUUGGGGGAUCUCUUAAUGGUGGCAAAUCAACUUUGCCAUGUUGGCAGCAUAGUCCAAAAGAUGGCAUGCUUUUCGCUCUACCUGAAGUUCUUUCUUUGUACCAGAAAAUUGCACCGCAUUGUUAACACUUGCAUUUUGGUUUUCCGAAGUUCCAAAUUUCCACAUCAGUCCUCUUCGAUUCCCUGUUAAAGUUUAUGUAUUUAGCAUAAAUUUAAAUCUUAGUAAUGUCUGGUGUUGUUGAUAAUAUGUUAACUUGAUAGAACUUGUAAUUUUUUAUAUUUUGUUCUCAUCGUUUUCGAUGUAGUAGACAUUUUAUUACUUUUUUGUAGUACACGCACAUAACAGAAAAUAUCAGGUCCACUAAUCUCCAAAUUUUAGAUGCUGAUUGUAAUUUAUUUUUUGCAUACCUCAUAGUUUUAUCAGCCGGGCGAAUCUCCUUCUUUUGUUGAUGGUUCUGCAACCCUCUUGGUUUGCAUUUUUCUUUUCCUAUGUAGUCUUGCGUCUUUUGCUUUUUCUGUUGAGUUACUUUUCCUGCAUAAACAUAAAUACUAAUUAUUAGAAGUGAGAGAUUACGUUACGUCUGGCAAAAGGAAUUUAUUACUCCUCGUGUUAACUUUAAAAUAUAUAUAUUUUGCCUUAGCUACAGUUCAUUGAUACUUGUAGCAUUUUAUUGUGAUUUAGUAGGCCAUUAGGCUACUCAUAGUGGGGAGUAUCAUAUACUAGUAUCAUGCAUAUGAUACUAGUGUAUGAUACUACCUCCAUAGUGCAUAGUAUCAUAAAGUAGUAUCAUAGAUUACCAUAUUUAUUGCCAUGCAUGACACAAAAGUAGCAUAUCAUUUAACAUGAUACGGUAUCUACCUAUGAUACUCUGACCCUCUCUCUCUUCUUCAAUUGUGUGCCACAUAAGCAUGUUUGAUAGUCCCAAGGGAAUGUUACCGGUUAUAUUACCCCCACUAUGGCCAGCCUUACAAAUUUGCCACGCUUGAAGAUGAGGAAAUGCAUGGGCGGGUGGUCUUUAUAAUCACUAAGUUAGUGAAGGUAAUUUUUCUCUAUUUAGAAAGAUUUUAGCACAUAGAUUGCAUAGUUGAUGUGUAUAGCAUAGGCACGGUACAUAAUGUUGCUUCCUGUAUACUGUAAUACCAACCAUGCGUCAUUAAUCUUAAAGUUUAACAUUUGAAUUGAGAAUGUAAUUAAUCCAAAUGAAUGAUAACAUGCAUAAGAGAGAAACUAUGUGAAGAUUUUCUUACUUCACAUGUAUCAAAGGUUGUCCUUUUUGUAUGUCUGCGGAGCCUGGCACAUCUCCAUGUAUGAUUGAAGACCUUCUGUUUCUCUCUCUUGAAGUGUCAUUCUCCUUUCUGAUCUUGCGAUUUUGCUGAUUGUCUGGGUUUGCAUCAAUAAGAUAACAAUUUAAAAUAUUGUUUUUCUCGUCGAAGCUAAAAUCAAUUAGGAACAUUAAGUGCAUAACUGGAGUUGAUUUUUUUUAUAUUAUACUAUGAUAGUAGAUAUCAAAUAUUCAAGAUUAGUAUCGGAUCACCUUGUUGGAUUGCAUAUUUGAUUUGUUUAAACCAUCUCGGUAGGUUUCUAACAUUCCUUGGUAUGCGGCCCACCUUUUCUUUUCAUUGUGUAUUCCUGCAUAAUGGAGAGUGCAAAUAUACAGCUAAAGUGAAUGAUAUUAUUAAUAUUGUUACAGAAAGUGGCAGACCUAGAAAUUGUGGUUUGCUGAGGCAACAGAUGACGAUAAAGAUCAAUGUACUCGUUGUACAGGGGAGUACCCUGCCCCGGCACUUGAGACGUUGGUCAUUCGCCCCAUUUGUUACAGUGCUAGGUCUACCGUUGAUUACAUAUCAGUGUUCAAGUAUAUGAAGAUUCAUAAUUUUUAUUACUUUUUACCUUUUAAAGUAUAUUUUUUGUCGUAGAAUUAAAGGCGAUCAAUUUUCAAGACUAGUGAUUUUGUAAAAAAAAUUAAUGAUAAAGAGGAUUUUAUGUUCCAAUCAUCACGUGGUACAUAAAUACAGUAUUUUUAGUAGAAGCUGACUGAAGCAAUCUAUACCUGAUUAAUGAGGUUUUCUUUUUGGACAAAAUUAAUGAGGUAGUGAUGCAAAAUAUAAUGGGAACCAUCAUCUGAUCUACAAACUCCAUGUGAAUUCCAUAUUGCAGUGCCCUAUGUUUGUUAAUGGACUGAGCCCUAUGGAAGCCGUCCCACAACCCCAAAAUAUAGUUGAGUAGUACGCUAGAAUUAGAUUGUAAUUGAGGAUUAAUAGAGAGGGAGAAGAAAUAUACCCGAAUUGAAAAGUUGUUUGACUAUGUUGUCGUACGUCAAAUUGAAAUCGUAUGUUCUGUCGAUUUUGUUCGUGCUGCUGAGAACAUAUUGAGUUUUAGGUCUAUUCUUGGCAUGCCAGUUGUUUAUAUAGGCAUGUCUUUUCUUUCUGUAACCUAGUUCUGUACGACUUAAGGUAUUCUUUCACAUGAGUUUUCGUAUUGAAUUCUAAUCCAACGUGCUUGUAAUUUGGGCCAUCCUGGACUUAUCAGCGUGGAAGUGUUGUUUCUGGCCCACAUGAUUAGGUUCAGUCACGUCAAUCCUUAAGGUUUCCCUAGAAAUCAACGUGGCAUGCACCAUCUCUCUCGCUCUAUCUCUCAAACGCACACACUUCCACAAAUCCAUAACCUCUUAGGUCAUAAUCUAUACUUUACCAUGUCAGGACCCAACUGAUGAUAAACCAACAGUUCAGUUCAUUUAAAUCCCUAGCCUUUGGCGCGAAGCAACCCUGGCCGUCCAUCGCCCAUCCGACGCUCCAUCUCCGCUCGUACCGCUUCGCGAGUAAGUGAGGCUCCGGAUCGCGUCCAAGUGGCAUCUAACGGCUACCAGCAACCCACGGGUCGCUGUUCAUUUUCCGGCAACCAUCUAUAGCAAUCCCCUGCUUUCGUUUUUCUUUUCUACUUUCACCAACUUGUAAGGCUAUAAAGCCAGGGCUCCAGCUCGAUCUAGGGCAUGAAAGUUUGUUAGGGUUUCCCCCUUCCACCGCCAGUGUUCCUGGCUGGCCUUAGGUUCCUCCUGGAUUGUGCUAAACUCUCUGAAUUAAGCCUGUGAAUCGUGCUAGUUCGAGUGAAAUUCUUCUCUGUUUCUCUGAAUAUUGUUCUUCAGACUCCUCUAGGUCUGACAAGUGGUAAUCAGAGCUUGGUUCCUCUCCUUGGCGGCGCGAGAUCCGGUGCCGAAGUGGAGUUGGAGGCGCCAUAAAAUCCUCCAUUUCUCACCGGUGUUGUUGGGCGGCGGCGGUUCCCCGGCGGCGACUGGUGGCGGCGUGAAAUUCGGUACAGGUUUGGGCGCGGGAAAAGGUUGCAGAAACACAUUGUUUCUGCGGUAAAAUCCCUCCCUCCCUCCCAGAUCCGGUGUACUUCCGGCGGCGCGGCGUUGGCGGCGGUGCAGGCGGCGGUAGGAUCGAAGGCCAAGGUCGGGUUGCAGCCCCAGCUGUGGUAAAAUUCCUCCCGUCGCCGGCUGAUCACGCGCAGUGAGGUUACUAAGCUCCCUGCUAGUGUAAAAACCCUCCCUGCAGUCUUCGUGCUAGCAUGACAGGCCCUGAAAAUUCCUCCUCCACGGAGAACUUGGAGUUCCAAUCAUUGCAACUGGAUGUCAAAACCCUGCAGCGAAACAGGGAAACUGACAGACAAGACUUCGAAGAUUUCAGAGACCAUGUUGCCACCAAUUUUCAAACCUUGCAGAAAACCUUGGGCGAACUACAGGGCCCUUUGAACAGCUUCAUUGCACGUUUUCCCAAACCCAGGGAAACUCCUCCCAACCCUCAAGAUGUGGCACAGGGUAGUGGACAACAGCAAACUCCCCAAGGUCCAAAUCAUGCACCAGCCACGGUCCUCCAGACUCCUCCUACUGUUGGAUCUGCCACGUUAGUGGACAAGAACACUGGAAAAGAGCUUAACUUGGAUGGCAGCAACCGAGUCCCUUAUAGGCACCCUCACUUUGCUGCAAGUAAACACCCAAUUCCUGAAAACAGAGUUCACACUGCUGUUAACCAAGUGCAGAAUGGUCAACAGGUGGUUCAGCUGGACAUGGAGCAAGCUGAACAAAUCCCACAACAGGAAGCUAGGGGUGAAGUUGGGCAGAGAGAUCAGGGGCAAGACAACAGGAGACAACUAGCAAUUGUAAAACCAGCCAAGUAUAACAUUCCUAAAUUUGAUGGUAGCAGUACAGAUUCCUGGAUACAAACCAUUGAGCUGUAUUUUGAAGCUGCUAGAACCCCUCUAGAGCAGAAAACAGAGAUUGCAGUAACUUACCUUAAAGGCCCAACAAUUGAAUGGUGGAGAGGUACGGGCAUUGUACCCAACACCCUGCCUUGGUAUAGAUUCUGUAGGCUCCUGGGUGAUAGGUUUGCUGAAACAUCUGCAUGUGACAAUGUUAGAUCUUUCCAUGCACUUACCCAAACAUGUUCUGUCAAUGAUUACAUCCUCAAGUUUGAGCAGGCCAUGAACUUAAUGAGAAGGGACAAUCCAGCUCUACCCCAAGAUUACUACAAGGCCAGUUUUAUCUCUGGACUGAAUGACAAUAUACAGCACCAUGUACAAUGUCAUGAGCCUGCUGACUUACAAAAAGCAAUUUGGCUUGCCAAAAGAAUGGAACAAGCACAACCACAAAAAAGAACUACUGUUCCUACCUCUGUUUUCCGACAAGUGAGAAGGCGGGUGCAGUUUGACCCAGGAAAACCAGGACCCACCAACAUAGCUACAGUAAUACAACAAGCUAGACUAAAGGGCACCUGUUACAAAUGUAAAGAGCCUUGGUUUCCAGGCCACAAAAAGGUGUGCAAAUUGGCAAAUCAAGCACAGAUACAAGCACUUCAAGCUGCUUGCCCUGAGGAUGCUGAGUUGGUUUACUAUACUGAAGAUCUGGAUGAAGUUGAUGUCCCUCCCCCUGUAGAAAGUGAUGAUACCCCCCUCCAGAUAUCUAUGCAUGCUCUGAUGGGUAUAAAAUCCACAAAGAAGCUCAGUUUUACAGUGACAAUCAUGAUAGGGGACACUCCAGCUACUGCACUCAUUGAUAGUGGCAGUACUGCUACAUUCAUUACCCCUAAGAUUGCUCACCUAGCUAGAUGUGCUCUCACUCCUACCAGAAAAAGAAAGGUGGUUGUGGCUAAUGGAGAUACUCUUUGGUCUGAAUUCAUUGCACUAGAAUGCCCAUUCUCUCUGCAAGGAACACAGUUCUCCACUGAUCUCAGAGUACUACAGCUUCAGGGUUAUGACGUUAUCCUAGGGGCAGAUUGGAUGGCUUCUUUCAACCCAGUAGAAUUGGACUUUGAUGAAAUGCAGGUGAAGAUCACCUUGAAAACUGGUGAAAAGAAAAUUUUUAAAGAUGAAAGCUUACCAUCUGUAGCUGUGCAAGAAUUGGAAACUGUGGAGGAACUCUCUAAGGAACCUGUUUGUGGAGCUGUCUUAAUUCUGAACAGAAUUGCUGACACCUUAGUUCCUCCUCCUGUCCAGCAACUUUUGAACAAAUACACACCAGUUUUCAGCACUCCAUCUGAUCUCCCUCCCAAGAGAACUGUGGAUCAUGCUAUACCUUUUACUCCUGAAGCCAAGAUUAUAAACCAGAGACCUUACAGACUCCCACACCACCAGAAAGAUGCUAUGGAAACCAUUAUCAAGGAUAUGAUCAAAAACAAAGUAAUUAGGGACAACUCUAGCCCUUACUCCUCCCCUGCACUCCUUGUUAAAAAGAAGGACAUGACUUGGAGAUUGGUCAAUGAUUUCAGAAAAAUCAACCAGCAAACUGUUAAGAACAAAUACCCUAUCCCUGUUAUAGAAGAUCUCCUGGAUGAAUUGAAAGGGGCAACAGUUUUCACUAAACUGGAUUUAAGAAGUGGCUAUCACCAAAUCAGAAUGCAGGAAGAAGAUAUUGGAAAAACUGCUUUCAGUACUCAUUGUGGCCACUAUGAGUAUUUAGUAAUGCCCUUUGGACUUACUAAUUCCCCAGCUACCUUUCAGCAGCUAAUGAACACAAUUUUAGCACCUUACUUGAGAAAAUUUGUGUUGGUUUUCUUUGAUGACAUCCUCAUAUACAGCAGAAACAUGAAGGAACACUUGGUACAUCUCCAACUAGUCCUUGAGGUCUUGCAGUCCCACCAACUAUAUGCUAAAAUGAGCAAGUGUACCUUUGCUCAACCUCAAGUGGAGUACUUGGGCCAUAUCAUAAGAGGUGAUGGAGUAGCUACUGAUCCUACCAAAAUUGAGGCAAUCUCCUAGUGGCCCACCCCAAAAAAUGUAACUCAGUUGAGAAGCUUCCUUGGUCUCACUGGUUAUUAUAGGAGGUUCAUUCAAAACUAUGGGGUCAUCUGCAAACCCUUGUUUCAGUCUUUGAAAAAGGACAAUUUCAGAUGGAAAUCUGAACAACAAGAAGCUUUCAACACAUUAAAACAUAAGAUGACCCAAGCUCCUGUCCUGGCCUUGCCUGAUUUUUCUCAGCCUUUUAUCCUAGAGACUGAUGCCUGUGCUUAUGGAAUUGGUGCAGUGCUCAUGCAGGGGGGCAGACCAAUAUCCUACUUCAGCAAAACCAUUGGCCCUAAAGCUGCUGCCUUUUCAACAUAUGAUAAAGAGGCCAUGGCCAUAAUUGAAGCUUUAAAACAUUGGAAACAUUAUUUUGCUGCCUCCUCAUUGAUCAUAAGAACUGAUCAGCAGAGUUUGAAAUAUAUACAAGAACAAAAGCUUACUGAAGGGAUCCAGCACAAGUUACUAGUAAAGCUAUUGGGCUACAACUUCAAGAUUGAGUACAAACAAGGAAAGAACAAUAAAGUUGUUGAUGCUCUCUCUAGAGUGAAAUACAGAUUACAAUCCUUGAUUGCUUCUCAAGUGAAACCUGCCUGGAUAUCCGAGGUCAUUUCCAGUUAUGCCCAGGAUCAAAGGUGCAAGGACCUUUUAGCCCAACUGGCUACCUCUGCAACUGCUGUCCCUAACUAUGCCCUCCAACAGGGAAUUCUGAGAUACAAGAACAGAAUUGUAAUAGGCAAUGAUUCCUUCCUCAGAACCCAGUUAGUGUCUGCCUUACACAAUUCUGAACUUGGGGGCCAUUCUGGACACAGAGCCACCUACCAGAGAGUUAAACUCCUCUUUCACUGGCCUGGCAUGAAGCAGUUCAUUGUGGAUUAUAUCAAGCAAUGCCCCACAUGCCAAAUCAACAAACCAGAACACUGCAAGUAUCCGGGGCUGCUGCAACCUCUCCAUGUCCCUGACUUUGCUUGGUGUCACAUUAGCAUGGACUUUGUCGAAGGCCUACCAACUUCUCAAAACAAGAACAUGAUUUUAGUUGUUGUGGACAGGUUCACCAAAUAUGGGCACUUUAUACCAAUGCAGCACCCCAUCACUGUUAGUACUGUGGCCAAGGCAUUCACAGAUAACAUCUUCAAGUUACAUGGUCUACCCUCAGUUAUAGUUACUAACAGAGAUGCCAUUUUCACCAGUAACCUUUGGCAAACACUCUUCAAGAAACUGGGUGUUAAGCUGCACAUGAGCACUUCCUACCACCCGUAAUCUGACGACCAAACUGAAAGGGUCAACCAAUGUUUGGAAAAUUAUUUGAGGUGCAUGGCCUUCCUACAACCUAAGAAGUGGAUGAACUGGCUCUCUCUCGCUGAAUGGUGGUAUAACACUAGUUACCAUAUAGCUCUGCAAAUUACUCCCUUCCAAGCACUGUAUAGUAGACCUCCAAACAUGAUCUCUGAAGCAGCCCUUUACCAUACUGAACAAGUACAAGAAUUUUCUUCAGUACUCACUGCAGAACAAACAGCAGCUCAGAUCAAGACAAAUCUAUUGAAGGCUCAAACUCGAAUGAAACACUAUGCAGAUAAAAAGAGAUCUGAAAGAACUCUAGAAGUGGGUGACAUGGUGUAUCUCAAGCUCCAGCCUUACAGACACACUACGCUGAGUGUCCAUCGAUGUCUCAAACUCCACUCCAAGUAUUAUGGCCCUUUCCGAAUACAAGAGAAAAUUGUCCUAGUGGCUUACAAACUGCUGUUACCGGAGGACUGCAAAUUGCAUCCCACAUUCCAUGUCAGCCAACUGAAAAAGCACUUGGGGCCACAGGCCAUCCCACACCCCAAACUCCCACUCAUCAAUGCAGACGACACAAUUCUUCUGGAACCUGAGCGGCUCCUAGAGAGAAAACUCAUCCCCAGAACUCAGGGUGAUAUCCAAAUACCAGUGGUGCGCUGGCUCAUCAAAUGGUGUAACAUGGAGGAGAAGGAUGCUACUUGGGAGGAUGCAACGUUUAUCCAAAAGGUUUUCCCUGCAUUUCAGCCCCGAGGACUGGUCUGAAGUCGAUCGGGGGGAGUUGUCAGGACCCAACUGAUGAUAAACCAAUAGUUCAGUUCAUUUAAAUCCCUAGCCUUUGGCGUGAAGCAACCCUGGCCGUCCAUCGCCCAUCCGACGCUCCAUCUCCGCUCGUACCGCUUCGCGAGUAAGUGAGGCUCCGGAUCGCGUCCAAGUGGCAUCUAACGGCUACCAGCAACCCACGGGUCGCUGUUCACUUUCCGGCAACCAUCUACAACAAUCCCCUGCUUUCGUUUUUCUUUUCUACUUUCACCAACUUGUAAGGCUAUAAAGCCAGGGCUCCAGCUCGAUCUAGGGCAUGAAAAUUUGUUAGGGUUUCCCCCUUCCGCCGCCAGUGUUCCUGGCUGGCCUUAGGUUCCUCCUGGAUUGUGCUAAACUCUCUGAAUUAAGCCUGUGAAUCGUGCUAGUUCGAGUGAAAUUCUCCCCUGUUUCUCUGAAUAUUGUUCUUCAGACUCCUCUGGGUCUGACAUACCAGGGCAUCUUGUGCGUCACCGUGCGGUGUGUGUUGAUGAUGUACAAGAUUUCUACUCUGCCGAGCAUCCAAUCCAGCACCCAUCUAGAAGUUUUAUAGAAGAAGGUUUUCCUUUAGUCUGUUUUAUAGUGAUUUAAUUUAUUCUCUUGUUUAUAUAUCAAUUUUUUAUUUGAUUUUGACAGGUGAUAUCUUAUUUGUGACAUGAAGAGUAAGAGAGCCACAUGUCAAUCAUAAGGAGGUGUUUUUGGGAACGUUUAUAUGUUCCAAUCAUGCUAUGUAUCUUCUACAAUUUUAUUGACAAUUGGUCUUUAUGCUUGUUUCAGAUGGAGCUGCUGGCAUUAUGACAGGAAACCACUAUUAGCAUCUGAGGUUGAUCAAACAUGGAAGCCAUCUAUGUAUAUUUAUCUAUAUCUGUUUGUACAUAAUGAAACUUGUGAGCUAACACCUGAAAUAUUUUUAGAUUAGCACUGCCUACAGUAUAAUCUAAGUAUUAAUGAUCCAUUAAUAGGUCUGAUCUAUAACAAUAGGUCUGAUCUAUAAUAUGAACACUAUCUGAUGCACCAUAUACGUUUCUCUAUAUUGUAGAGAGCAACAUUCAUGGCAUUAGCCUUCUGUAGAUGGGUGAAAAGUAUGAAGAACCUGACACCAUUAAGACAUGAAGCCACACCUAUAGGAUUCUACAUAAUCAACCUUCUGAGGUAACAUGUCAAAUAUUUUUAGAUGAGGACUGCAUAGAGCAUAAUUGAACCAUCAUUGAUCCAGUAAUUGGUAUGAUUUAUAAUUUCGUUCAGAUAGAACUUACUUGAUGUUGCCUGAUUGCUCAAUGGAGCUGUCUUGUGGCCGCUGGAGGAAGACAACUCCAAAGUGCUAAUUCUGAAGUUGAUCUCGAAGUUUGAGUCGCUGGAGGAAGAUGAUGUGGGAGGAAGAUGAUGUAGAAGUUGUAACUUAAAAUCUUUGGACAAUGAACCUAUGAGGUCAUGGGGAAGGUUUAUAUGGACGGUUAAGUUUCUCAUGUUUGCACGAUGGAAAAAAGUUUUUUUGGAUCCCGUCUGGACACAUUCUAUUUGGAGAGAGAUAUGAUAGUUUUGGUUUGUUUAGGCACAUUAGAACUUUUUUUUUCUGGGAUGGCCUCAUGGUUGUAGUUUUCUUGAGAAAAGCUGAUGGCAUGGUCCAUCCUGUAUGUGUGUGAUGGCCCAACCUAUAUGUUUUUAUUGUUUAAUGAUGCAUGAUGCAUGCGUGUUUCUGAUCCCUAACGGGAUGGUCCAUCCUAUUGGGGUUGUGGUUGGAUCAUGAAAAUCAACGUGAAGUCAUC
rnacentral:lncRNA from 1 species